GUAAUGCAGUAGGAUUUUCAUUCGGUAGCACACUAUUAGCUUAAUACUGAAAAUGUAUCAUAAUUUGAAGAGAAACCGUAAAAAAAAUAAGUAAUAACAACAUGUACAGAGCAACAUCUAGCGGAUGUAGCAACAGUUAAACUUUGAAUAGUAACACGAAAUAGCUAUGGUCGAAACAUUAACUCCACAGACGGUGAUGGUUACUGGUUCAUGGCCGUAUUGAUUCACCCAGAUCAGGAGUUUCCAGUCUUGGGGUUCGAUAUUUGGACAACCGAAUAGACACUUGGACUGAUCGAGGUGUUCAGUUCCCACUCCCAGUUUGUAGGAGGUUAAGUGCAGCUUAAGUCUGGAUGUACAUCACUGUGUAAAUAAUUAUCGAGUAACAAUUUAGAUACAAAUUGGCAUCGGUGUUUCUCGAUUUUUUUCAUAACAGACGCCGAAUAAAGUCGCUCGUGUUUCGCGACUGUUUCGCAAUAGUUGCUAAAAUGUGUCUAGGUGUGGAUUAGGCUUUACGAUUUAAUUCAUAUUUUUCAUAUUGUGGCUGUUUUCCUAUUCAUAUAUAGAUAUAGUUAUAGUUAUACGUGUUUUGUAUGUGUAUUGGGUGGCGGGUCUUGUAGAAUAGGAAAACAAUUUGCUUUCAAAUUCUAUGUUUUAACGGUUUUUUUUUGUGAUAAAACAUAAAAUUCAAAAUUCAAGUGGCAAAUUUUUAAUAGAUAUAAGAGCUCAUUCUUUUAUAUAUCUUUAUCGUCAUCAAUUCCUAUCUGGUGCUCCACAUGUGGUCAAGAGACGGCAAAAUUAUAUAUAUCUGUAACCAUCUAUCUGUAUCUAUGUAUACAUAUGUAUAACUGUC